rnacentral:rRNA from 1 species
GCAGUCGAGCGGAACGAGUUAUCUGAACCUUCGGGGAACGAUAACGGCGUCGAGCGGCGGACGGGUGAGUAAUGCCUAGGAAAUUGCCCUGAUGUGGGGGAUAACCAUUGGAAACGAUGGCUAAUACCGCAUGAUGCCUACGGGCCAAAGAGGGGGACCUUCGGGCCUCUCGCGUCAGGAUAUGCCUAGGUGGGAUUAGCUAGUUGGUGAGGUAAGGGCUCACCAAGGCGACGAUCCCUAGCUGGUCUGAGAGGAUGAUCAGCCACACUGGAACUGAGACACGGUCCAGACUCCUACGGGAGGCAGCAGUGGGGAAUAUUGCACAAUGGGCGCAAGCCUGAUGCAGCCAUGCCGCGUGUAUGAA